rnacentral:rRNA from 1 species
UCGUGGAGUGAUUUGUCUGGUUGAUUCCGAUAACGAACGAGACCCCCGCCUACUAACUAGAUUGCAAUUAUUUCGAUUUUGCUGUCUUCUUAGAGGGACAACUGGUGCAAGCCAGGGGAAGUGGGGGGCAACUACA